AAAGAAAUAUAUGUUGGACCAAAAUCUGGAUCCCUCUCUACAAGAUCUUGUCAGAAGAAUUCUUCCUUUGUGUUGUAAUUACUCCACUGUGGCCAGGUUUAUUGAAGAGAAAUCAGCGUUUGAGUAUGGACUUGUCAACCAGGCCCU